ensembl:lncRNA
CCAAAAGCAUGACGGUGCCUUCUAUUUCCAGUCUAACUCGUGAAUUGAGAUCGGGUGUCCGUUGUCGCGCUCCUCUCUGGCAGGCGGAGAAGUUUCACUUGCCUUCUAUAUCUGCUGAGUGCGGGAUAAUUUGCAGUGUUCUUGACAAGAUCAUAACGUUUCUUUUUUUUUUUUUCGGUGUGCAUUUCAUUCACCCAUACCUGGCGUUUCACUACCUAAGAUGUGCUGUGAGUUUUGUACAUUGUUUUAUAGUGUCUGAUGUGUUUUUCGGAGUAGACGGUGGUUAGACGAGGUGCCAGAAGUUCUGUUCUAAUGGCAGGUGGUCAAAAGAUGCAUGGUUAGAUAACUCUGUGGUACGCAGAACAGUCGUGGUGUGCUUCUGCGGCUGGUCAAGCGGCGACUGCCUUGGAGAACUUCGGAUUGGUUCGUUAUCUGCUGGAUUGACCGUUGAGUUGGUAACGGACUGUCAAAAUGAAAUGCACUCUUAAAGGAAAAAACGUUAUUGCACAAUGACACGGGCUACUAGACAGUUGGGAACCGGUACAUUCGUUUGGAGCGGCAUAGUCUUUCGAUCUACAAAAGCGGCACGUGGAAUAAACCUUGGACCCCAGAGCGUCAGACUGUUUCAUCCAAAAACAUUUUCCUCUGCAGCAAUUUUUGUAAGACUGUCUUGGGUGGGAUUUAGCCUUUUGUGCGAACUGUAUCUGGGGUGACAAACUUUUUUUAGUAUUUUAUUUUUAAAUCCAUCUAUGCUUUUAAAAUGAUGAUAUUCAAUGUGCUUAGUGUAUGGAUUAUAUUUUUUAAACGGGCAAGUCGAAAUUCUAUAACGGUACACUUCCAGUACAAUGGGUUCUAUUUUUGUGACUGCGUGAAAGGGAAGACUUGAGUAUCAACCUAAAGCAGAAUUCUUCGGGGAGCAAAAAACAUAGCUUUUUUUUUUUUAAACUGGUUUUGCACUGAAAUGGAAACCUGAUUGAGGUCUGUGGUCUGUCUUCUUUGUUGCACUAUUAUUCAACAACCUGUCAGGGUAAAAAAAAAAAAAACACUUUCUUCAGAUCCUCCCCCUCUUACUACUGGAAACCACAUAUUUCCUGACUGUCUGAAUUUUCUUCAGGCAAUGCUUUUCAGUAAUGAACUGCAACCCAUUCAGUUAACGUUUGGUAAUUUGUACUGGUAAAAUCCACUUCGCUACAUCACUCAGUGUGGGGCAGUCACUGGUGUUGCACGUGUGUUACAUACCCUGAAAGGCAGAUGCCUUCGGCUGGAAUAAAGCUAGGUGCCAAACAUGGGAGUGAUGGAGCCCUGGACUCCAGCAUUGAGUCAGUGCAGAGCUACACCCCUGUGGCCUCUUGUGUUUCCACAAUAGGGAUAAGUUUCACAGCUGCCUAAAUACUCUGUUUCAGAUUUAUCAGCAAAAAAGGGCACUUACUGCAAUUCUACUUUUUGCAAUGGGCAACAAUGGAGUCCGUUGAAGGGGAAGCCAUCACGCUUUCAGGCUGGUUUUCGGAAGUCUGAAAAUUUUUACGUUAAGCAGUACCUUAAAAUUGGGUGGCGAUAACCUUUCUCCACAGAUUCUCCUUUCAACUCUUUUCCCUUUUCUUUUUGUUUAAUGAAAUUUCAGCCAAACACCCACCUCUACCCCCUUUCAAAUUACCCCUCAACUUAAGCAAAGGCUGUAAGCUUUUUCCACUGUUGAAAAAAUAAAUAAAAAUGCAGUAGAGCGGAUCUAAGUGUGUAUCGUUCUGGUCCUCAUUUCCAUGGAAUAGGAUUGCCUUCUUGGCUUCAGCAGGUGUGGUAAAAUCAGCAGUCAAGUUGGUUGCCAUUUUUUAUUUACUGUGUUUACUUUCUACAUUUUGCUAGUAGAAAAAAAAAAGUGUUGCAGGUGGAUCAAAUUUUCUUUUUGUUUUAGUUUUCCCAUUUUCAAUGUGUUGGACUUAAUAAACUACUGAUAUCUGCA